AUUGAACGCUGGCGGCAGGCCUAACACAUGCAAGUCGAACGAGUGGCGGACGGGUGAGUAAUGUCUGUGAAACUGCCUGAUGGAGGGGGAUAACUACUGGAAACGGUAGCUAAUACCGCAUACCAUCGGAUGUGCCCAGAUGGUAUUAGCUAGUAGGGGGGGGAAAGGCUCACCUAGGCGACGAUCCCUAGCUGGUCUGAGAGGAAGACCAGCGACACUGGAAAGGAGACACGGUCCAGACUCCUACGGGAGGCAGCAGUGGGGAAUAUUGCACAAGGGGGGCAAGCCGGAUGCAGCAAUGCCGCGUGUAUGAAGAAGGCCUGCGGGUUGUAAAGUACUUUGAGCGGGGAGGCGUUACCCGCAGAAGAAGCACCGGCUAACUCCGUGCCAGCAGCCGCGGUAAUUC
rnacentral:rRNA from 1 species